rnacentral:tRNA from 1 species
GGGGAUGUAGCUCAGUGGUAGAGCACUUGCCUAGCGUCACGAGGCCCUGGGUUCCAUCCCCAGUACUGCCA